rnacentral:lncRNA from 1 species
UAUAUUGUGUUUAUCAAAAUCAUAUGUACGGUCUAGUGGUCAAUAAGCAACCGGCCGAAUAGUUAGAUUAGGUAGAAGCCAAAUUCAUCGUAUAUGAAGAUCCUAUAAACGUAAAACAUCCCUAACGAUUUGGCGAUGCAAUUGUGGUUUCUCGACCUGAUUACAGAGUGCCUUCAUGAACGUGGAUUUCGUGCUUUCAAUCAUGCCCAGGAAUCUCUUGUACGAACUCAAGAACAAGAAUCGACUGGAUAUAACCUCAUAGAACAGUUUAGUCAUUCCUCAUGCACUCAAGCUGUUUUUACGUUCAUAUGGGUUGAAGAGAGUGGCGUCUGCUCGCUUCAAGGUCAUUUCAUUUUAAGUUCUCGGUACAUUUAUCCUUUGUUCACCGCUCCGUACGUAGAAUUACAACGCAGCGUGUGCGCAUACAGAAACAUGGCAUUGAUUCACUGGCUUAUCAGCGGCCACUGAUAUAAGUUUCAACAAUGAAACUUUCAAACUCGCUAUUGUCCUCAUUAAGUUUUUUUUUAACAUCAACGACCACGCUCAAAAGAACGCACGGGGCCGCCAAUGGUAUUACUUUGCGAACUAGUUUACGGAUGAGCCAACGAGUCGGCUGUAAGCAACAGUAACUUGAAGUAAUUCAUAAAUUUAAUUUCGCAGCUUACUUUUAUCACUGUAAUUCUGACAAAACCGUAAAUCUGCUUUAGUGGUGUUUUAAAGCAGUCAAAUGUGUAAAAUAUCUAUCGCAGUUCAUGUAUAUGCGAUAUAAAUGUUGAUUAUGUUAAAGCAA